rfam:Gossypium raimondii Chr07_contig_1027, whole genome shotgun sequence.
UUCUUUCUAUUUCAUCCACUUCUAUUGUUAAAAACUGACGUGAUUGACAAAAUAAUCAAAAAGUUACACAUCGCAUGCCAUGUGCACCUCACGCUAAUGUAUAAGGGUAAAUUUUUAACAGUAAAAAUAGAUAAAUUUUUAAUAA